CUCCAAGGACUGAAGGACCAAGACAGCGGACAUUGGACUGUGGACACAAACACACCUCUUCUUCUUCCCACUCGGCUGUUCCGCUGUCGGCAUUCUUCUUUCCCCAAAUCAAAAGCAAACCCUAGCCGCCGCUACCAGCCUACCACCGUCUUCACCACUCACCAGUCAGCCACUUCUGCCACCACCACUGCCCCGCCCUUCAAUUGAAGAGCCCUUUCUCUCCGAGUCCUUCAGUACUUCAGUCCCAGUUUGUUGGCCGACGUUAGAAGCAGCUACGGUAGACAUUUCAUCAGCUCCGUUGGUGAAGGGCCUCGCGAACAGUGCACGGCUGUGGGCGAAAGAAUCCAAGACUCGAGGCUAUUGGUUACUGGAGGACUUAAUCUAGAGUGAUUUCAAACUAUUUGUUCCUUGUUUUUUAGUUUGUUUGAGGUGUUGGACAUUUGAAUUGAAAAAUUGUGAAACAAUUAUGUAUGUGGAGUUGGGGACAUUUGUUUCUGAUUUCAUGGAUGUAUUAUUGGACAAUGAAGAAUUGUUGUUACUUUUAAUUCAUGUUUGGAAUUGUUAAAUUCAAGUUUGCAAGGCAUUGAAUAGCUUAAAACAUGCUAUUGAAGCCAGGUUAAAUAAA